GACGAACGCUGGCGGCGUGCUUAACACAUGCAAGUCGAACGGAAAGACCCUGCUUUUGUGGGGCGCUCGAGUGGCGAACGGGUGAGUAACACGUGAGUAACCUGCCCUUGACUUUGGGAUAACUUCAGGAAACUGGGGCUAAUACCGGAUAGGAGCUCCUGCUGCAUGGUGGGGGUUGGAAAGUUUCGGCGGUUGGGGAUGGACUCGCGGCUUAUCAGCUUGUUGGUGGGGUAGUGGCUUACCAAGGCUUUGACGGGUAGCCGGCCUGAGAGGGUGACCGGCCACAUUGGGACUGAGAUACGGCCCAGACUCCUACGGGAGGCAGCAGUGGGGAAUAUUGCACAAUGGGCGGAAGCCUGAUGCAGCAACGCCGCGUGCGGGAUGACGGCCUUCGGGUUGUAAACCGCUUUCGCCUGUGACGAAGCGUGAGUGACGGUAAUGGGUAAAGAAGCACCGGCUAACUACGUG
rnacentral:rRNA from 1 species